UUUCGGACUACCCAAGCCACUCCGUUUGGUUUCUCUUAGCGUGCAAGAUUCUGUGUGUUAUUUGAUCUCACUCUGCCACAGUUUUCACCUGGUUUAGUUUACCCUAGUUUGGUGCUAUUUUUCGUGCUUACUGCCUUGCCCUUUUUGUUUCUCAUUAAAAGGCCUUCGUUGAAUUCACUUCAGUUUCCAGUAUGUUCUUUGCGCCUGACAGUAUCUAAGCUGGCUGUAGAGUUCCAGGCGUGUAUGUCCUUGUGCAGGUGCAGCUCGAACCUCCCUGUAUUGCUGAUCCAGUUGCAGCACAGCCUCUUUAACAUUCCUUUCCGCGCUGAUGCGAUGCCACUGGUCAUCAUUUAGCGGCGUUGACUCCACCACAUGUUUCCAACUCAAUAACUAACUAACAAGGAUCACACCUCAGCGUUUGACCUUUUAUAAGCUCUGCCAGCUGAAAGCAAUAAAUGAGGCACAAAUGAGCACUGGCUGCUAAACACUAAUGACCUUCUGGAAAAGACAGAUUCCCAGCAUUCAUGGUAUUUUUUAUUACACAUUCACUUAGACUAAAGAAAUUUAAUACUAAUCAGAAUCAUACUAUGUUUUGAAAAAUGUGUUGUUGAGCUUUGGCAUUAAGAUCAGCUCAGAUCAGAGAUUUUAAAAUCUUCUGAACUUACACCAUUAGAGCCUAUACUCCUUUUAAAAAGUUGCAUUCUUAAAUGAAUGUAUUGUCUUAUUCAUUUAUGUAUGUAUGUUAGCUUGCAUUCUUUAUUCUUUUUACGAAUAAUGCUAUUAAAAUUUCAUGUUAUUAGAAAAAUUGGGUGUAUAUUUAAAAGCUAUUUACACUAUUUAAAAGAAAUAUCAAAUGUUAAACACCAACAUUGUGUUCCACAUUAGUGCUGUUUGUCAGCAGUGUGUGAAAAGAAUCUGAAGUAUUUCUGGAUCAAUGUGAAGUAAUUAUGUGGCACUCCCCUAUACCUAACCAUUUAGUGAUGUCUAUCUGUGUUUCUUUACAUAAAUGUAUGCCCUAGAAUUGUUAGAUCUUUCUGUGCGUUCCUGAUUGCUGGCCAUUUCAGAUACUGACCUUUAAGACCCAAAGCAAAGAAUAAAAGGCACAACAAAAGAGACAUGUGAGAGGUUUGUGGAUUUAAAAGUUCAGGACUUUGGAGAAAAUAGGGAAUUGCAC